rnacentral:rRNA from 1 species
CUGGGAUUAGAUACCCUGUUAUUUAAAAAGUAAUAAAUUUACUUAGGUAGUAUUAGUUAUUUUCUUGAAACUUAAAAAAUUUGGCGGUAUUUUAGUCUAUUCAGAGGAACCUGUUUUGUAAUCGAUAUUCCACGUUGUACCUCACUUAAAUUAGUUUUCAGUUUAUAUACCGUUGUUAUUAGAAUAUUUUAUAAAAAAAAUAAUUUUCUAGAAUUUAAAUAAAAAUUUAUAUCAAAUCAAGGUGUAGCUUAUGUUUAAGAAAUAAUGGGUUACAAUAAAUUUAUUUAUAUGGAUAUAAUUAUGAAAAAGUUAUUAAAAGUGGAUUUGAUAGUAAAGUUAUAGAGAUUAUUAAUUUGAUUAUAGCUCUAAAAUAUGCACAAAUCGCCCGUCACUCUCUGA